rnacentral:hammerhead_ribozyme from 1 species
AGUUAACUGACGAGCCCCAAAUGGGACGAAAUGCGCAUCCUAGAU